rnacentral:misc_RNA from 1 species
GUCCGUCAAUUCAUUUGAGUUUUAAUCUUGCGACCGUACUCCCCAGGCGGCACGCUUAACGCGUUAGCUCCGGCACGCAGGGGGUCGAUUCCCCGCACACCAAGCGUGCACCGUUUACUGCCAGGACUACAGGGGUAUCUAAUCCCUUUCGCUCCCCUGGCCUUCGUGCCUCAGCGUCAGUUAAUGUCCAGGAACCCGCCUUCGCCACGAGUGUUCCUCUCGAUAUCUACGCAUUUCACUGCUACACCGAGAAUUCCGGUUCCCCCUCCAUUACUCUAGUCUCGCAGUAUCAUGUGCCGUCCGCGGGUUGAGCCCGCGCCUUUCACACACGACUUACGAAACAGCCUACGCACGCUUUACGCCCAGUGAUUCCGAACAACGCUUGAGACCUCUGUAUUAC